UUCGUGUUAUCUUUAUAUUUAGCCGAAGUAGGCAGAUUUUUUUUCCAGUUUUGACCCAAGAUUCUGAUUACUUUCUGAGCAGGUAGCUUUAUUGUUUGGUUUGUGUUAUCUUUAUAUUUGGCCGAAGUAGGCAGAUUUUUUUUCCAGUUUUGCCCCAAGAUUCUGAUUACUUACUGAGCAGGUAGCUCUAUUGUUUGGUUUGGUUUGUGUUAUCUUUAUAUUUAGUCGAAGUAGGCGGAUUUUUUUUCCAGUUUUGACCCAAGAU